AACGGUAACAGGAAGAAGCUUGCUUCUUUGCUGACGAGUGGCGGACGGGUGAGUAAUGUCUGGGAAACUGCCUGAUGGAGGGGGAUAACUACUGGAAACGGUAGCUAAUACCGCAUAACGUCGCAAGACCAAAGAGGGGGACCUUCGGGCCUCUUGCCAUCGGAUGUGCCCAGAUGGGAUUAGCUAGUAGGUGGGGUAACGGCUCACCUAGGCGACGAUCCCUAGCUGGUCUGAGAGGAUGACCAGCCACACUGGAACUGAGACACGGUCCAGACUCCUACGGGAGGCAGCAGUGGGGAAUUUUGGACAAUGGGCGCAAGCCUGAUCCAGCAAUGCCGCGUGAGUGAAGAAGGCCUUCGGGUUGUAAAGCUCCUUUGUCAGGGAAGAAACGGUGAGGGCUAAUAUCCUUUGCUAAUGACGGUACCUGAAGAAUAAGCACCGGCUAACUACGUGCCAGCAGCCGCGGUAAUACGUAGGGUGCAAGCGUUAAUCGGAAUUACUGGGCGUAAAGCGUGCGCAGGCGGUUAUGUAAGUCAGAUGUGAAAUCCCCGGGCUCAACCUGGGAAUGGCAUUUGAGACUGCAUGGCUAGAGUGUGUCAGAGGGGGGUAGAAUUCCACGUGUAGCAGUGAAAUGCGUAGAGAUGUGGAGGAAUACCGAUGGCGAAGGCAGCCCCCUGGGAUAACACUGACGCUCAUGCACGAAAGCGUGGGGAGCAAACAGG
rnacentral:rRNA from 1 species